rnacentral:rRNA from 1 species
AUUGAACGUUGGCGGCAUGCCUUACACAUGCAAGUCGAACGGCAGCGCGGACUUCGGUCUGGCGGCGAGUGGCGAACGGGUGAGUAAUGUAUCGGAACGUACCAUUCAGUGGGGGAUAACGCAGCGAAAGUUGCGCUAAUACCGCAUAUUCUGUGCGCAGGAAAGCAGGGGAUCGCAAGACCUUGCGCUGAUUGAGCGGCCGAUAUCAGAUUAGCUAGUUGGUGAGGUAAAGGCUCACCAAGGCGACGAUCUGUAGCGGGUCUGAGAGGAUGAUCCGCCACACUGGAACUGAGACACGGUCCAGACUCCUACGGGAGGCAGCAGUGGGGAAUUUUGGACAAUGGGCGCAAGCCUGAUCCAGCCAUGCCGCGUGAGUGAAGAAGGCC